rnacentral:rRNA from 1 species
AUGAUGACAGCGCAAAUGCUGAAGUCCAUCAGCAUAGCUUCAGACGCCUUCUGUAGCAGCAUCCCGAGCUCCAGCAUCAGCCCUAAGCCAUCAGAACCAAGGCUGAUGCCGGCCUGUCUGCCCCUCGCAUUGGGGUCCCUGUUCUCCAUCAGCAACGACAUGACGAUGGUUACGUUCGUUAUGAUGAGGAACAGGAGCGGCCUCGUGCAAACCAAUACUCUGGUGAUGGUGCCACCAACGUCCAGCCCCCAGUUAGAAACAACCACAAUGAAGGCGAUGAGAAUGGAUGCUAAGCAGCGGUUGAGCUCUGUGGCUGAGAUGGCCUGGGUGAUCUCCUGCGGCGUGAAAUCCACGAGUUGCUUCAGAGUAUCCAGAGACCAAGACGAGUCGUCUGCUUGGUUAGGCUGGCUUGGGGGCACAGAUCUGGGUCUUGUUUCCAUGUCCCUCGGAGGCACAGAUCCCAUGUCCCUCGGAGGCAUAGAUCCCAUGUCCCUCGGAGGCACAGAUCUUGGUCUCAUUUCCAUGUCCCUCUUAGGCUGCACACUUGCUGCUCCAUAA